rnacentral:rRNA from 1 species
GCCAGCAGCGAUAGCACUUUCAAUACAUCAGUUCCCAUUGGAUCACUGAAGUUAAGCAACAUUGCGCUUGAUUGGUAUCCGGAAGGGUGACCAUCUGGGUAAUCGAGAUGCUGGUU